UCUCUCUUUAUUUCUACCAAGCUCUGCCUCAAUAUCUUAUAUCCUUUGGAACUCACUGUGCUGGUUGCAUGUCAUUACAUCUGUUUUAUGGUGUUAGUUUUAUCUGUUAAAAAUAUAUUUUUAAAAGCAGGUGUUUAAUUUUCUUUGCAUUUUGCCUCAUAAAAUACUCAUUGCAAAAUGUUUGAAACCCUGUGUCUGUCACCAGUAUUUUCUCCACAUGAAAAGGAGAAUAAUUUGAAUUCCAACGUGACUUCAAAACUUAAGAGUUUUGUUCUGUUUUGUUUUGUUUUUCCCCGAGGGCUUGAAACAGGUAUAAUUUGAAGAGAGUUUCUUUUAAGUACUCAUGUCAAACUGAAUUGUAACUGCAAUUAUUUUUUUUAACAGAAAGUUUAAAUUAUUGGUAAUGAGACUUUUGGACAACUUCACUUGAAACUUCAAUACUUGAAAGCUGUGAAAAAUCUGGGAAAUGCUGUCAACUGUUUUUAGAUGCUUAGUUAAAAAAUAAUCACGAUCCUGGGAACGGGCUUAUUUAUCCCUGCUUCACUUCGCUUCUCUCCACUAAUGCCCUGUGUUGUGACUGGCAAUGGAAACCCACCCCAGGCUGCUGUGUGCACUUCUUCUGGGUCUUGCUCAGUACAGGACUUGCUUCUGGAAGUGCUGUCACACGUAACUGAAGCUUGUGGCUCUUAUAACUUACUCAGAGCGAGCCAACCUUGUGUUUUCCUCGUUGGGCUAAUGCCAUGCUAGUUUAAAAGCUGCAACGCUGAAAGGCAAACAAAGAAGAGGAUUAGACCAAACUAGUUCCAGAGCACACAUUGUACAUACUAAUGUCUCAUUGAAACAGGAGAAGGCUGAAAAAAAUACUGCCCAUGCUUUAAUGAGAAUACAAGCUUGCUUUCUGAAUCCCUGCCUCAUUUUGCCAAUCAGAUAGGGGGUAUUCUGCAUUGCUAAAGGAGCCAAGCUAAUGAGAUUAUGGUUUAUCACUUGGGAAAAUAAAACUGUACCACUGGAAGAAUACAAUUUAUGUAAGGAUUGUGCUAACCCAUCAGUAUGAUCACUUGACUCUUCCUGAGGUUGUUCAGGCGAAAGCACUGAGCCUGCAAAUGUUUCCACUUAGAUGACUCUGCAUCUCCAAGCAAUAAACCUUGAGCUGCUUUAUGUCCUGAAUUUCAUCUCUGCCAAGCAGUGGCCCAAGCAAAGAUAGCUUGGUGAGAAACAGAUGUACAAAUUUCAAAUCCAGUGUUUCAAAUGUGUUAUGUCGUAGAUCUCCUUGUAUUGACCUGUCUGGAUAGGCUGUGCCUGCUGUGUGACAGAAAAUGUGCGUUCUUUAGGAUUUUCCCCAGGUGGUGCCACCUAAUUGCGCCACACCAGCAGGAAGAGAUUAUCUGCAGAGGAGGAAAACCUCCGCAGGGGUCAUCUUGACUGUUGCUAUGCAUGUGUAUAAGAAGAAUUGCAGUGUACACUCGUGUUUCUCCACUUCUGCAGCCCUGGGAUCUCCCACCCUCCCGGCAGCGACUUCUCCACUAUGCAACAGCAGCACUGGGACUCUGAAAGGGGUUGAGGGAUAGGAAAUGCUUUUCAGCUCCGUGCCUGCUUCUGCCGUUACUGCUGAUUUAUGCGAUUUGCGGUGCUGAGCGAUGCGGCAGCUGCAGGGAGGAGGAGAUGAGAACCAGAAACCCCUCAGGCUUCCUAGAAAAUGUCUUCUCCAGUAACAAAUCUGGGAUGGAGAAAAGCCCACUCUGGUCCUGUGUGCGUGCUCCAGUACGUUGGGAAAGGACUGAACACACAGACAGUGCUCUCCAAAAGAUGUGGCUGCUUGUGGUCUAUCUCCUGGCAAACCUUUCCUGUGGACAAGAUGUAGACAAGACUCCAGAGCAAGGCUGGAGACCUUGAGAACAAACCUGUGGAGGCACAGGGCAUCCUUCAUGGUAUAGAACUCUUCUUGGGCAAAGGAAGGAAAACACAUCUCCUGUCUCCUUCAUAGGCGUGUUGGAAACUUGGUAGUAAGUUAAUAAUGAGUUAAACUAUAGGCUUUUUCUGCUUUCCUUGAGAAAAUGGCUGGCAGGGCUUCAGUGCAGAAGUUGAAGUUCAGAGUAAAGCAACCAAGAGCAGUUAGUGCCCUGCUGAUUUCUGGUUCCUCGGUUCCUGUGGUCUAUCAAUUUCUGGGGGGUAAAAAAAAAAGAGAGACGUGAAUUAAAAUGAAGGAAAUGUGCAAUUUUGCCCAAGCCUUGUGCUUGGGUGGCUGAGUCCCAUCUCUUCAUGUGAUGCCAUGAGGCAGAUAUGGCUCAUCCAUCACUCUGAGGCAUGUGUCCAAGCCUUCUAAUUAGUGAAUAUGACCAAGAGGUUUGGAGCUUAAACUGGUUCUGACCUGUAUUUUUUAAUUAAGGCAUUUUUUUAAUAUAACCCCUGCUUCAGGUCAUCUGAUAAUACUAAUCUGGACAUAAUGCCUAACCUUCUUAACCCUAGACUGUUACUUCUCCACUUUAAUGCCAGUCUUAAAGAAACAUUGCCCCAUAAAUUAGAUGCUGGGAACAGAACCAGCUGUGAAUUAAAGUGUUUCUAAGGAAUAAUUGGAUGGACCCUGAAGAUCCGCUCCCAGCUGACAUUCUUCUGCCUCUCAUAAAAGCACAAAAUGUUUAUGGUCCCUUUGUUAAUGCUGCUUGGCUCUCAUUUGGUCUGCUUGCCCAUUGGGUCAAAAGGGGGUCCCGUCUUCCCAUUGCCAGCCCUAUGCCUGGUAACAGCUCCAGCUGAGCAGGGGUGGUAUCUCCAUAUAGUCUUUGGGAUGGUUGUUUUCGGCUGGCUGAUGGCCACCUACUCCGCUUCUAUCUUGGAGAGCAGGGAUUUUUGAUAAGCUUAAGAACGCUGUGGAGGAGACCCUUGUUCCUAUCAGCAGGCGGAACAACUGAUGAAGUCAAGGGAUUAAUGAAAGAAAACCCAGCACUGUGCAGUUUUAUGAGAGACUUUUUAAUGGGUUUUUACUUAUCCUGUAUUGUUCUGCACGUAGCUAUAUCGUGCUGAGAAUCACAGGGAGAAAUGCUAAUUCGGUGUUUUUAUAUAGGGGAAACAGCAUGCUAAGUGCAUUCCUUAAGUCAGUCCAGAAACCGCCUCCUGCAAAAAUUCAUGAAAAGCACAUGUAAUGCCUUGUCAAGCUUGGCUCUUUUAUCUGGGAUAGUUAAAAUAUUUUCACUAGGGGGAAGAAAGGUUGCUGGGUGGUUUGUUUGUUUGACUGUUUCUGGAUAAAGAUCUUCUGAAGGUGGGAAAACACCGGUCUUGCAUCUGACAGGCAGGAAGGUGCAGCCCCUGGGCAUGGUUUGGGCUGUGAUUUCCUAGGGGAGCCAUCGUGGAGCCAAGGACAAAAUUUAUAUAGCCACAUUUUUUUUCUCACUUACUGAUUCUGGUAGCCACCUUAUAAGUAACUAGCAUGGCAUACCAGGAGAGUAAGGCGGAGAAAAAAACUUCCUCAUUAUCUCAAAUACAAUAAAAAGAAAUAGAGGAAUUGAAAGAAAAAAACAAUUUGACUGUAAGAGCCUCAAAACUCCAAAUCAUUCCCAGCAGUUCUCCAAAGUACAGUGUUUCAAACAUUCAUGGCUCAAUUUACCACCUAUUUGAUGGGGGAAGUGUUUACGACACAUUCUCUGCAUUCCUUUACCAGAAGUGCUGUAAAAUUGGACUGUUCCCCUCCUGAACCCCCCUGAAUGUGAUGCAGGGAAUGACUCACAUCUGGAAAAUUUACCUUACAGCUCAGCACUGAGCACUUCUUACAGCAACUUACCUAUAGGGAAAAUCAGACGUGGCCCUGUGCAUUGCUGCCCUGCAAACCUGGGUGUGCAAACGUGCCUUUGUAUACAUUGGGUUAGUUUGAGUCAUGGCAAUAACAGAAAUAGAAAUAUAUGGGCUAAUGUGGAGGCUCUAUAGACUCUACUGAGGGAGAACUGGUUAAAUCAACAUUAGAUCAUGCUGAAGGGCAUGUUUCCCCAUGGUCAUAAUUAUCUAUGCUUGGCAUGGCAAGAGUACGAAGGAGAAUUUUGAUAAUACAGUUGAUUAAGUUAUCUGGAGGCAUGGAGAAGGCUGGAAACGUGUUGAUCAGAUAAGGCAAAAGCACCAAACACAAAGUGUUAGUAACCUGGGCUCUAAGGACAUCCAGGGAAAGAUAGCAGAAAAGCGUGGUUGGUGUCGGUCCUUGAAUUACCACUUGAAGGUGGAAAGAUCUCAGAGGAAGAUGUUUGUAGGGGGGAGAGGGUUGCUUCUAGCUCCGUGGGGCACUUGGAAGAUGUCCCUAGAUGGCCCUGCACUGGUGGCCUCGCAAAUCUGCUGCCUGGAUCAGUCACUUGCACGUCACUGAGCUUUGGCUGUAGACGUGUCCUCAGCCAAGCAAGAGGAGACCCAGCCAGGUUCAGUGACUGUAAGAUGAAGUCAUAAAAUGGGUAUUAGAUUAAUGGCUUUAUAAGACAAGAGGGGUUUAACACUGGAAUAGAUGGCAAAUGGAUCUUGCACAUUUUUUCUCAGCUUUGUUUCAAGCUUAAUAUCCGUCAUGCGGUGGCAGAUUCCUCCUCAACCCUGAGUUAUUUGACUCGAUGGAGGAAUUUCUGGGUGAAAAGCACAACCCGCUCUAAUGCAGGAGGCCAGGCUGGGUGUUUUUAAUGAUUUCUUCCCGCUUUCAAAGCUUCUUAUCAAGUCUGUAUCUUUUUCCACAAGUUAGGAGCUGAGGGUGGAAUUCCAUACGAUUCACUGAUUAAUUCCACCUUAAUUCCUGCAGAACGCCUGAUUAUGAGGUCUUAAUUGGUGCAGAAAGAGGGAAUCUCUCCUUUCCCAAAUACCUUUGAGACAGUAGCUCCAAUUUCCCAUCAAACCUCCUACAACGCAGCAGUGCUAUAACUGUUCUUCCCAACUCAAGUGGAGUUGCUACCAUUUCUCCUGAUGAUAUACGAGGGUGUCAUGACUUGUUAUGUCACGUCAGAUGAUGCGGUGGGAUAAUAAGAGUUGAUGGGAUGUGGCAGCCGUCAUUUUGAAAUUGAAGAAAAAAAAGGUUCUCUGUGCACCGAAGAACACAUCUGGUUUGUGGCAUAAUUUAAAUUAACUUGAAGGAAUUUACUACAUCUCGGGUGUCUUCCAUGGUGACAUGAAACAUAGAAAUUCAGUCUUGGAAAGCUUUUAUGAAAGCUCAGCAGCCAGAGCGGUUUUAAAUUGCUUUUGCUUUUUUUUUGUGUGGGUGUGCUUUUUUUUUUUUUAACUGAGAAAUUCUGAUGGCAAUUUCCUACUCUUGACUGAUUCUAUCUAAUUUGUGCUUGCCCUGAUUGCAGUUUUAUACACAGGAAUUCCGGGGCUAUGUAUCUCUCUACCAAGGGGAGAGAUGUUUAGUUGUUCACCUUUCUCCUGGAUGAAAUGCCAGUCACCUAUGUUAAACCUCUCUGUUCAGAGUGAUGCUGGGGGACCAGAGAGCAGCCAUCCCUGCACUGUCUGGCUCCUCGCAUGGGAACACUCCAGUGUCCUUGGGACCCCCUGGGAAAUCCCCUCUAUGAACUCUCUGUGCUGGACUCGCACCCAGGGGACUGAGAUCCCAGGGCUGAUGUGUGCGGAUGGAACUUGGGACCCUCUGGAGAAAAGUGAGCGUCCUAUGGUGCAAACCAUAGCCAGGUGUGAUGUUUCUUCUGGGGAAUUAAAACUUAAAUCCCCAAGGAUGCAGCAGAGAGAUUAUUUUCAGGGUGAGGAAGCAUGAGGUGGUUGGUAUUUUCAAACCUGCUCCAGAUGACAGCUCAUCACUACAAAGCUUGAGAGAACAGGGGACUAGCGAGGUUCUAAAGCAAAGGGGUUUGCCCUCUGAAACUAACCCCUGGUGCUGGCCAAACACAUGGUUCCCCCAGCUGUCAACAGGCACUUUGCUGUUGGGAGCCAAAAUCAUUCUGAUCUGUCCCCUAUGUCAAGUGUUGCUAAAGAGCUCGCUAAGUACUUGUUUUGUUUCCUCUUAAUCUUAACUGAAGUUUAUCUCUUUUCCCUUAAACCUGGAGUAGAAGUUUUGAGCUUCUCUGACCUUUGUAGAGAUUGCAAAAUCCAACAAACCCUCCCCACAGGAACAUCUGGUGAAGAGGAAUCCUCACAGCUUGAUCAGGGGCAGUCCCCUCAGAGCGGCUUGCCCUCAUGGGUUGUUCGCUACAGGUAGCUGCAGAAAAUGGUCUUGUGGGUCUCAGGUUGGACCAUAACUCUGGAGAGAUGAAUUCUCUGUUAUGGGCCAGCUUGAUGAGCAGGAACAGUCACAUGACCUUCCGUGCCUCAGUUUCCCCAGUUGCGAAAAUGGCAGCAAUGAUGUUCUUUCUUAUGUGGUACUUCAAGACUCCUGAGGAAAGGCUGGGAGGUGCAGUCAUCCUCUGCCUCUGAGCUUUCAAGGGCCCUUGCAAUUCAGUUAAGCCAACAGCAGUACAAAAUGUGUGACUUCUUGUUGCAGUUAGUCUCAGAUUAUGGUACUACUCUGGAGACAUGGGCAUUGCUCGCUGGAAAUAUACCCCGACCUUAAUCCGGAAUACAUGUGGCUAGUAGGGCUGCCCCAAGGGAAGGGAGUUUGCCUGCAGUUUUGCCUGCAGGCCACCAGCUGCAGGGGCAACUCUGGGUGCUCACUAUGGGGCUGCCACUUCAAGGAGAGUGAUGGGGCUGAGCAAGGUGAGACUUCAUCCUAAUGGUGGGGUGGAGCUGGCUCAGGAGGGGAUAUAGGGCAGGAGUUGGGACAGCUGAAAGUCUGGGAAUGGGAAUAGCAAGGAAGGAGAAGGAGAGUUUUAUAGCUGUUUGUAUUAGUAUGGGGCUACUGAGAACAUCAGCUGAGCUUGCUUCUUGUUCUUCCCAUCUUGGCUAUGCUUGUCUCAGCUAGGCUGCACCUUGAUUUUUCCUGCUUAGGUUAAUAAGGACAAAGAAGGGAAAGACAGCAGUUACCUUCAUUAGAGGCGAAGCUAUGCUAAUUAUCUAAAAAAGCAAAUAUCCAUGGCUCAGGAGGCAUGCAGAAAGCCCCGACACAGUGGGGGUCAUCCUGUUUGUUGCCCAGACCAUGACGUGUCUGAUCAUCUGCCCAUAGGAAGGCUCUGUGUACACACACAAGGUAAGCUGGAGCUCAGCAUAGAAAGCAGGGAUAUCACUGUGUUAGGAGCCAUGGAUCUUUUAGAAAUGAGAGGAAUGUUUACAGUCCUAAAACUCAGAAGAAAAGAUGCCUUUCUGGAUUGGGCUCUGGUGCUAUCCAGGACCUAUUUCAGGAGGUGUUUGUCUGUUGCUCAGUAGUAGCAAAUGCAGUGGGGCUCCAGGUGUUUGGGCCAGGUGCUUUAAGAUCUUUAGCCUCAUAGAAGGGAGUGAUCACAGCAGGACAGUGGUGCUAUUUGCCAGAAAAGCUUUGGUGCUCCCGGAUCUUGAGCACUUGAGGGCACUUUUUGCCUCUGCUUCUGAGGAGCAGUGUGGUAGAAGUAGGUACAGGUAAAAUGGUAGAAGGUAGUUAGUGGCUGGAAAUGUUGGAUUUGCUCAGUCCGGAGAAGUAAAGAGGAGAAUUUGCAAAAUCACAAAGUCAGCAGGAAAGGCAGAUGUGGGCUUGUCCUUCACCAGCCCCUGUGUAUGGGUGCACCUGGUGAAACCAGAGGAAGCCAGGGAGGAGACACAACCGCUCCAACUGCUCUGAGAACAUUUUUCUUACUCUUUUUCUUCUUUAUUUUUGAAGUUAUUUCACCAUUUCUCACUCAUUUUGCCUCUCUCAGAAGUCAUGGCUGAUGCUUUGAAUACAGCUUAGCAAUUUCUUUUCAUGUGAAGCACUACAAGAGAGUGUCUUGUCUACAACCCCUUUGAGAAGACUUAUUUUAUGCUUAGCUGUCAUGCAUGUGCGUGCCAGAACCUGGAAGAGGAAUGGCUGUUGGAUUCCACAUUCCCUCCUGGUCCGGGACCGUUUGCAAGACUGUCUCCAUCACGAUCAUCAGAUAUCAGCUCUCUGGAACACGACCAGCCUACACUCCUGUGAGUCAGCAAACAUGGGAUGGAGCAGAACAAGACCAAGGAGCAAGGCAGGAGAAGCAGCAAGGAGAGGGAGCGUGGAGCUACAGAUGAGCAAGAACAAGUUGGCAAAAUUAUGGGAGUAAUUAAAACUUGCUCGGUUUGCAAAUGGGAAACGUUUUGCAGAACAAACGAGAAUAUUAACAGCAGUUACUGGAAGGAAAGCCAAGCAAACAAAGGAAACGCUUGUCUCCAAAACCAUCUUUCCAAUAGGAUGCAGAGCUCUGUGCUUGAUCUAGCCUCCAAGAAAGCCAUGGAAAGCUGCUGUGGUGUAGUUUGGUUGGGAAUUACGUUUCAGAAAGAGAAAACCGGGUUGGUUAUCAGCCCUUUUGUUCCAAUACACCACAAAGAGGUUCUGUGAGCAGGGUUCUCCCAAAGAAGCAGGUGAUGGAUAAGCCUGCAUCCUUGCUGAUGUGAAUUCCUGACCCAGUUUCCAUAGCAGACCUGCUCAGGAGUGCGAAAGAGCUGCUGGAGAUGGAGAAAAUGCCUUGCGGGCAGGCUGGCCCUUCGGUGCAUGUGAAGGAAGAAAAGUCAAAGUUUUUUCACUGAGUGGAAUUUCUUGGAAAGUGUGGAGUCGGAAACGUGGGAGCGACCUGAUUGAAGCAGGCCAUUUAGUUUCAGUCUAAACACCAGAGGAGAGAAAACAACAAGCAGAAAUACCAAAUCACAUGGUAGGAGCCAUUGCAUGAAGCAAUACGGAGGAUUUGUCCUAGUUGCUGAGGCUCAGCACCCCAUGGCAGAAGGAACACUUGGCAGAUCGAGAGGUUUAGUAAGGAGGAGAAAACCCAGCCUGCUAACAAAGGGGGUUUCAACUCUGACUUGGACCCUAGUCAGGAAAACAGAGCACAUUGUUUGUGAUGGCAGUCUCCACCAAAACGGCUCAUGGGACAAGUUAAGGAAAUUCAGUCUCUCUGAAGAUGAAAGCUUGCACCAGUUUUGAAGGACCUCAAAAAUCAGUUUCAAAACUGAUCUGGAAAACCCCCUUUGGAGCAGAUCUGUUUCCCGGCUUCCUUACUACAGUUAAUAAUCUGCACUUUGCUGGCUCUGAUCAUCUUAAAAUCUCAGGUAAUUUGAGAUACCCUGUUUUGUCGUGAGCCUGAAAUGGAAGUAGUCAGGCACUUCCCAUUAAAAUGAUUGCUGCUGGAAAAAUUCCAAUCAUAAUUUUCUGCCUGUAAAUGUUGUUUUUCCCUUUCUGUUUCAAAGAGGUUGGUAGUACAAAUGGCCUCUCAUCCUCAAACUGAACGUCACAGGGGCUGAAAGGCUGAAAAGCCCUUCUCUCAACAGUGAGAACAUCCUAUCUAGUUAGCAGGUAAAGCUAUUUUUGCCAUAUCCUUCAGACAACAUUGAAAAUCUAGUGCAGAAAAGACGUAAGACAGCAACAGGCAGAAAUCAGUGUCCCCAAAUCCAACCCGUGUUUGAUCUCAUUAGCUGUGAGGCUCUUGUGACUAUGGGUUUGAUGUCCCUGGGAGUUGUGGCCACAGUUUUGAUGGGCAGGGUCCUGGGAGGCUACUGUGAUGUCCUGCCCUGGAGAAACCAGCAGAGCCACCCCCAUGAGGUCCCCUCCAGCUCUGAGAUCAUCUGUUUCGCUGGCGUCCAAAGCUGACUCAGUGCUAACACGUGCUGCUUCUUGGCCUUAUUUAUUACUAUUGCAUGACAUCCAAAAUAAACAACGCCUGAGGUCCUUCUACCCCUUACCCCGCACAUGGCUUCAGCUGGGAGCUGUGGUUGUGCCGGGGGGGACCUGGACUCCCUGGGCUCCACAGAUGAUGAUAAAUCACCUGGCGUGGGCAAUGUCUUUCAGCCGAGCCCUAACCUGUUUAGUCUAAUGGGCAGAGUGAGCCGAAACGAAAGGCUGGUUGGCAGCUCUGGUUUAAACACUGUGGCUGAGGGGUCUCCUAUCCUUCUCCGCAAAUAAAUCACAGUUCAAAGGAGCUGGCGUUGCAGCAGCUGGAAUAUUGGACUGGAGGACGGUGUGUGUUUCCAACCCAUCCCUCGCACUUCUUAAAAUACAGAAGGGGAGCAGAGAAGCCCUCAGAAGUGGUCUCAGCCCUGGGUGGGUGUAGGGCAGGGCUCGUGUGAUGGCUGUGGGUGCAGGGAUAGGAAAAGUGUUGGAACCACAACCCCAGUUUGCUGGAUUUUGUGUCGCUAAUCUAUCCCAAAGGGCAGCUUAAUAGAUUUCAUUUACAACUUUUCCUGCCCUACAUAAUCUCUGAGAAGUGCCACUUUCAGUUUGUAUAUCUUUCACCGACAUGUAUAUUUAGCACUCAUUAACCACUUACCUUGGGCUAAUAAUUCAACUUUUGUUCCAAACCCCAAAUUUCCUCAUUUCUGUGAGUUCUUGGAGCCAAAGAGAACAUUUCUGACAGAUUCAUUUCAACUUUGUCUGAAGGUUCUCUGUAGCCUUUUAGUUUAUUUAAACAAUAUUUUCUGUGUGUUUUUUUUUUUUUUUUCAGAUUAUUCAUAGUGAAACCAUCUCAUUGCUUAAAACCUGUGCAUGAUUCUUACUCAUUUCAGGUAAAAGCAAUUCAGAACACUUGUCGCUUUUUAUAAUGAAAAACAAAAAAACUUUGCUUCUAGGUACUUUAGCCAAGCUGACUGCAAUUAACAUUGCUGUUUCCAUCCAAAUUCUUCCUUGCUCUGAUUUUUAGGUACUUUCAUUGUUUUGUUCUAGAUUCAAUAGCCUGAUGAUUUAUUUUCCAUCUAUUUAACCUUCGUCAGCGCAUAAACUCCCACAACUGACAGGACCUGGAGUGCGUUAGUCCUUGCACAGUAUCUUAUUUUGUUGUUGUUUUAACUUGAGCACACUUAAGCACAUGCUUAAAUCUGACUUUAGUGUGAUCUAAGCUUCUGUGUCAAAUAAGCACAGGCAGGAUUAGGGCUGUUUCCUGAAAAAGCACCUUGGGCAGGAGAGGUUAUGAGUGUGGUGCAGUUGUGGUGGGGAAUGCCCAAGUGUCUUGUGUUCAGCUCUGCUUUGCCAUUAUUUCCUGCCACACAGAAACUAAAAUUGAUGCAAUGAGUCAAAGCAAAUGCAGACAGAACCACGGGGUUUUUUUCCCCCAUAAAGGGAAACUGAACUCCAAUACAACCACAGCGAAACAACCAAGUUUGCAGCUGAACCCAAACCAGAACCAACCUUUGAAGUGCAGUAGUUAAAAGUUUAAAUUGCUUUGCAGUGCCGAGAUCUGGUACAGUCCCCAGAUCUGCUUGGAUGGGGAGAUGCAGGGUUCAUGACAUGUGAGGUCACCAUGAGGGGAGAUGGCAUUUCCCCUUCUUGGCUGCUGGGCAGGUGUCACCAGGCCAUUUGGGCAGAAACCUGCCUGGUUCUGUCAAAGGUUCAUCAUCCUACCUUGCGGGAAUGUUUUCAUUUCAGAAGAUCAGCAGAUUCCUCCAAGAAGUGCUUUGCUGUUGGGUUCAGCAGUUGUUUUUUCAUUGUUGUUGUUCAUGUUUUGUUUUUUAAUUAUGAUUAUUAUUUCCGCAGUAGAAAGAGGGAUAUUGCACAUGAAUGAGAAAACUUGUGUGGACUGCAGGAAAACAAUAAGCAGCCGGGGCUGAGUAGGAAGUGGAUGGAAACCCAACCCAGAAAAAUGAGAAGUGUUCAGCCUUGGCUUGACUCUGUGCCCAGUGAGGCUGAUAGCUGGGCUGUCACUGAUUGCAGCAGGCUUAGGCCAGUCCUGGAUGCUUCUGAGAAACCCAGUCCUAGAGCAAUGCAGGGCUUAUUCAAGCCCUUUCCCCCACCACACUUUUUUUUUUUUUCCAUUAAACCUCAUUUUUUUUCCAGGCAAAUUCCACCUGUAUGUCACACAACCCCCAUUUUAAAUAGCUGUGCCUGUGCCUCCAACUAAGGUCUUCCCAUUUAAUCCAAAGGUUUUGUCCUCCUUUCCCAGGAGCUCAGUGGCAGACAAGAACACCUUAAAGGCAUGGCCUGAAGAUAUUUUAAAAUUCCUCAGAUGCAAUAAAAAUAACAAAAAUAUUGAUUUUAUUUUUUCUUGUCUAUGCUGUGAUGGAACAAAAAAUAGUGUCGGACCAAGCAAAGAAGGAGGGAAGAUUUCUCCAUCCCUCUGGUUUAGUUUAUUGGCUUGGGCAGAGCCAGCACAAGGGAGGGGAAGAUUGGGAAGCAAAUCUCCCCCAUUUCUGGGACUGGAGACACUUGGAGUCAGCAUGCUGGGCUGUUCCGCUCCAGCUUCUGCUGCGAAGCUCAUCCCCCAGGCUGCACGAACAUCACUGCCAUGGGGAUCCCGUCUGAGGAGCGUGUGUUCCAGUUGUGUCGUGCUAAUUUGUGGUUUUCAGGAGAAAGUGUUGGAAAAAAGAGCAGCAGCAUGAAUCCAAGCCAAAAUUGCUAAUUUUGGCUGGUCUUCCUUUUUCUGGAUUCCAAUUGCUGUUACAUGUUUGGUAUUUAUAUUUUAAAAACAGGGAAACUUGGUAAUAAGAAAAAGCUAAAUUAGAUUAUGAAGGUUUCCAUUCACUACUAGGACUGAGUAUAAUUGAGUUUUGCAUAGCUCUGCAAGACCAGGAUGUCCCCCUCUGCCUUGCUUUUUCUCUGAGACUGAAUUAUGUUUCAUAGUGAUACUAGAUUGAAGAGGGCAAUAUCGGGCAACUCAAAAUUUGAGUUUAGUCAGAUUAAGCCUAAGUCUAGUUUCAUGUUUUGCAUGUUCAAAACCAGCCUCUACCCAAGGUCAGCUGCUUCCUUGUAAGAGAACACCCAGCAUUUUUAAAGUCAUCUUACAUUGACAUGGGGCAGGAAAAUAUUUUUCUGGUUGUUUUGUGCUCAUACUGCCCCUAUUGGAUAUAACAAUAGAAAUCCUUGUAUACUUUGAGGUGUUUAUGCGAGUUGGGGAAUUCAUUCUCAACCCAUCUAUUUUUGGGGAUAUAAGUUACUGAUUUUGGUGCAGACUCAGAGGCAAAGCUUCUAAUGCAAGGAGCAUGGGCUGCUGGAUGGAUGUCCCAGGUGAUGGGCACCUUGGCCAAGUCGUGGUGGGUAGAAGUCUAUGGUGUGGUGCCUGGUGGUGUGGUGCAGGUGAUGAGACACAAGCUGUGCUGCAAAAACAGCUGAGUGCAGCGUUUGCUGGACCUGAGGUGAAGGCUGCAUCUGCUCAUUGAAAACAGAUUUAAGAAACAGAUGAAGGAUGCAGUGCAAUGGCAGGAAUAUCAAAUCUGUUUGCUCAGGGAAGGGUCAUUUUCCAUAACACCUGCCUGUUAUUGUCUUCUGCUCAGCGUGGAGUCCUUUUACAACCUUGCGUUUAGGGAGUUUGGCUGGGCUGCCAAAAAAAACAGAGGGAAUCACUCUUUUAUGAGCCAUCCCUUCCUCCCUUUUAUGUUGUUAGGAAUUUCCCCGUGUGUCUCUCUUUCACAAAUUCCUUUUAAUUAUAUUGCAUCCAAGAGAAAGUAAUCCAUCCCAGUUUGGCUUCUCUGACGCUAGCAAAUAGAGUUCCUGGUCUCCUCUCUUUCGUCUUUUUUUUAGGGUUUCCAGUACAUCAGCCCAAUGGCCUGCAGAAGAAAAAUGAUCUCAUGCGAGAACCAAUUAUCACGGCUGCCCGUUCUGGCUGGGGGGAAAUGUUUACCUUGAAUUCCACUUAGUCGUGGGGUUUCGAUUAGGAAGCAGCAGCACAUCUGCUGAACACACGCAUGACAAGGUAGGUGAAGUGUUAUUGCACCCAGCCUGGGCUACAGACUAUCUUCACAGCUUGGGCAGCAGAGACGAGGGUCUACGGGUGAGAUAAGGGGUCAACGCAGCAGUGGCUUGGAGGUGUAAUCCUGGCAUCUCCACGCUGUGCUGCUGCUGUGCCUGGGAUUGCAGUAAACACACAGCCGAGGAAAGCAAGAAGUGGUUGAAUGCUUUCCAAGGGAAUGAUUUUUUUUUCACCCCUGUGGUAAGCUAUCCUUUGUCAAAAUGAAAACUUUCCAGGAGAAAAAUGUAAAAUCAGCUCACAAAGAUUUUGGUUGAUUCUUUCAUUUGUUUGUUUCCAAAUGUCUUUUUAAUGAAGUUGUAGAACCAUAUGAGAUUUUUUUAAAAAUAAAACAGAAUGGAAACAAGAUGUAUCCCUUUUGCCAUUAAAAACAGAGUGGGAAAAGAAGAUUAUACAGCCCAUUCCCUUGCUCCUUCAUGGGAUCAAAUAUUCUCAGGCUAUGGAUAAAACAUCAAGAAAUGUUGACAUUCCUUUUGCUUUGCUUUCAUCUGCUCUCCCAAACUGCAAUUUCCCUUUUCACAUCACUUUGCUACUGCAAGUUACAUGCCCUCAGGUCCUCUGGAUUUUAGCUGACCUGAAUUAGAAAUGCACAAUUAUAAAUCUGCCUUGGAGUGUCUCAUCCCACACGACAGCCCCAGCAUGAAGUGUUCUCUGGUGGUUUUGCCCUGGUCCCUGUUCCAGGCUCCAGCUCUGCUCCGGUCCUGAUCCCACACAAGAUCUUGCCACAACCUUCCCAUGGCAUCUUCAUCACCCACUUUCUAACCAGGGUUUUGCCAGUCGACCUAGGAAGUAAUUCAUAGCAAUGCUGGAGAAACUCUUAUAUCUAUUAGAUUUUUAAACCAAACCCACACUGCAACUACUAUUGGAUCUGACCUAAAAAUAGCAAUCUAAUGAAAUCCAAACGUUUUGAGAGAAUGUAUCAAUUUCACCUGCAGUUUCAACAGGACAUUAUGGAAAUGUUUCCAUCCCGUUGAGUCAAAACAUUUAAUUUUGACCACUGCAUUGGCUGUUUUUCUAUCAGGGCUAUAAUAUGCAGAGCAGUUGAUGCUUAGAUUUCUAUCCGACAUUUUUUAGUGUAAAAGUCAAACCAAGCCAAACAUUUCAGCUUCUUUUGUAAUUUGCUCUCAUUUGUAUUUGGAAAAAAGAGUCACGUAUUCGUAUGCUUGCUUCCCACAAGACAAAUACUUUUGAGAGUGCCUUUUCCUAACUUUGAUGCUCAAAAGUGUCAAGGAAAUCUGAGUCACUUGCCUGCUUUGAAGUGUAAAGAAUAAAUGGGCUUCUCAACCCCUUGGGCUGUCUCAAAAUCCCAGCCAGAGGCCUCUAUUAAUAACCUGACGAGCUAUUGUAUGACACUGUCUUAUCCCCAUCUCACAGAUGGGAACGCAGCGUGGUAGCCAGUUCUCCAAGGUCACCCAGCAGCAGAGUCACGGCCAGAGCCCAUUCCUUCUUCCGCUGCCCAUUGACCUACUUGAAGCAGAGAAAAUGCAUCAUCCUCUUACACAACUUGCUAUUAACAUUUAGCAGAAAACUGGGGAUUUUCUCAUGGAAAUUUCCACGGGAAACCCUCACUUUCCUGGUCAGAAAUGUCUGUCUUGGGACAUCCUGCUGUUUCUGUAAGGAAGUUUGAAAAUGCAGGGAAGUGAGGUUUACCUUCCAGUUCUUCUCCCCCACAUUUCCCUGGUUGGAGAAGAAAUCUCUACAAGGAGAGGUAACCAUGCAACCAAAGUGAUUGGACAAUAGAUGGUUUCUACAAAAAUAUGAGCCACGGCUACAAGACUCACAGGCUGGCAGCACUGACUCUUGCUAGCUGUGCCAAGGGAGUGCUAGUAAAAUCUUCAGGCUACACCCAGUUUUCAUGUGUUGUUGCAAUUGCCAUGGCAUGUCCUGCAAAACUUCAUGGUUUGGGAAUUACAAAAAGCCCAACAAAGUGAUUCUUUCAAAACCCCCUGCCUGAGAAGUCUGGUGGAUUAGCCUUUGCAGACCCAGCCAGCAAAGUCUCAGAGGGAUGAUGAAGAAAUCAUUAUAAUGCUUGAGGAACAGAGAGCCCAAAGCCCUUUCUGAUCCGUCACUAUCAGAAGAUUCAGGUCUGAUUUUUCUCUGCCAGCUGUUGGAAGAUGCAAGUCUGCAACGUGGUGGUGAGCGCUACUUGACUCGUAGGGAAGAUGGGAAGGAGAUGACUUGGGGAUUUCUGGUUUUGCCUUUUGAGCAGCUGCUUGGGGUGUGCAGUGUUGGAAAGAGCAGCAAAAUAGGAUCAACCUGUUAACGAUCAAAGCCUGUUGUGGCUGCAUGUUUGAUCACACUAACCUAACACAGGGGUGGUGCCGACUCACAGCCUCUCUGCAGAACUGGCCAAUGCAAAGACCAUGAGUCAAGAGAGCUGUAGGGGAGGACAGGUGUUGAGGGAAAAGGUGGAAGCUGGAUAGAGAGCCGAAGGGGAAGUCUGGCUUUUCAGAGCACUAGGACAGCCUCAUGGCUGUUCGAUUGUUAUUUAUUAAAGGAAGAUAUAUAAUUAUUCCAGUGUGUGCAUUUCACAAUGACAGUAGAUGCAACAAAUCCAGUGGGUCAGCAACGCUGGUGUGACCAUGGCUUCUGAGCAUGAUGGGACUCCAUGAACAUGCUUCAUCUCUCCAGCUGACUGGCUUCUUGGUGGCCAUGAAAGGACUUUGCUUUCUGAAGCAGAAUGCAGUGUUAAAAAGCACCAAAAAGACAAUUGUGAGUAUGCUUGAGCACAAAACUGCCAAGCAAGCCCCUGGGAGACUGGUGAUAGCUGUCCUGUAGAAACCCCAGCAUGAGCAGGGCUCUUAGGUGUCUGACCCAGCAAACCCCAUCGCAGCAGCAAGGGGAGAGGUGGCAGCACCUCACCCAGGUGCUCUGCAUGAAGGCAGGGCUGGGCAGAGCUGAUCUGGCAGCUGCAGCUGCCCAUGAAAGCCUGGCUGGGCAGGCAGGCUGGCUGCUUGCAGGAGCCAACAAGCAACGAUGGAUGGACAGACAGAUGCAACUAGGUAGGUAGAGUGAGCUUGAAGCACUAAUUUUCUACUGGAUUUUCUCCCACUUGCUUUACCAAAAAAUACUAGACAGCCCUGAGCUGGGGCUUGCCCAGAUGAGGUUAUUUUUCCACUGACAGAGCUUUUGAGGACUUUACAAUACAUGCUUAGGGUGAUGGGACUCCUGGGAGUGGCUGGUGGUUAUUUAAUAUAUAGAGUGCAUAAUGCUUGUUAGUAUGGAGCAGGCAGCCUGUGCGGUGGGCUAGGAGUUAGUGAGGUUUCCUUUGCCAUGAAUGGAAAAACCUGCUCUUAAUGCAAACUGCUCUCUGAGCAAAUGCUGUUAAUGGAGCAGUCAUUUCCAGAGGGUGUGAAGGAUUUCUGUCUGUUGCAUUAGGGAUAUUAACUAGAAGGGACAGCACUUUUUCUGUGUUUUAGAGAGUUAAACAUGAGUGACUGAUGGGUUAUAUUCUGACUUGAGCUUGGUUUCACAGAGGGUGAUAGGGAGACAAGUGGCAAUUAGAGUAGGCAUGUUACCUUAUAUUGGUUCCGGGCACCUAAGCGUGCUCCCUGGGCUACAAAUCAGUGUAACGUAUUUUCCUCACCAAAAGUAGACACCUCUUUGUUAUGAUGGUAGCUAAUCCAGGCCAAUCAUAUAAAUAGAGUCCCACAGGGGAAUGCUCAUUCCAGGGUAGGAAUAGAGUUUUAUUUUAAACUCCACCAAACUGAGAUCAUCUGCAUGAAAAUAGGUAUUUGUAUACCAGAGUGGAAGUGCCGUGUGGGAAGUUACAGCAGUACAUCCAGAGGACCAAGAACUCACGUCCUAGAUCAGUUCUGUGAUCUAUAAAAAUAUUUAGCUAAUCCAUAGAGACAAGUACACAGAGAUGACAUCCCAUCCACUCUGUGUACAUUGAAUGAGGCUACUUGUGUUUGAAAUAGUGUCUUAUGGCUCCUCUUCUUGUUACUCAUUUUUAAAUAACAGUAAUUUCCUACUUGGCAGGCUGUGGCCCUGUUGGACCAGUGUGUGAUUCCUAUAGUGUUGCUAUCAGCUGAUUUAGAUAGUUUUCUCAAGACUGUGGGUCUGUUUAAACAUAAUAAAACAGUCUCUAUCCCAGCACUCCCAUAGUGUCUGGCUUUUUGCAUCACAUCUUGACAUUCUGUAUCAUUUAGCAAUUAGGAAAUUGGGAGGCUCAAGUUUAAUGGGCUCCUUUGUAUCCCCAGGCUGCAGCAGUGAAGGACUUGCAAACCUUGCUAAAUAUCCCCUAUACAUCAGAUUCCUGGGAUAUACUAUGUCUGUCCUAAGUCACAAGGACCCCAAGUAAACAGAACUACACAAAUUAUCAUGGAAAAUGAAGCUAACCCAAAUAACAGUUCAGUAAUUGCACCACAGCAAAAUUUUUGCCAAUUCUGGUUAAUGCUGAAUGGAUGAAACUUAGCAUCUCAGUUCAACUUCACAAGCUGCAGGGCUUUCAGCCCAGGAAAACUGAAUUGAAAUGAAAUAUUGCUUGGCAUGUGGGUUUUUUUGUUGUUUGCUCCCAAGAGAAAAUGGAUUCUCCAAAAUGGUUUCCUGCAGAAAAUUAAAGGUUUUCAGAAAUUACAUUUGCGUGUCCCAAAGAGCUAUUUCAGAGGAGAACUCCCAGGCAGCUCUGAAACUCAGUUAUUUAGGGGUGAGUCUAUGUAGAGAUGUCAGCGAUGCAGCCAACUAUUAGCUAAGUUAGCUGCAGAAUUUGAUCUCUUACAUAUUUCUCUUUAAUAGAAACAGAGCCCUCGACAGACAUGGUGGUUAUUUAUGUUCCAGAUAAAUCCCUGACCUCGGUUUGGGGAAAACCUUCAUUGCUCCCUUACGCCCAAGGAAUGAUUUCUUUAAUACAAUGGUCUCUUCAUCUAGUAACUACCAUAAAAUAAUAUGUUGAGGUGGCACAGGCUGUAUCCAGGUCUUAUGAGCCCUCUUCUUGAUGUGCUGUGGUACAUGGACCUAAAUCGUGGCUGUUUGGGCACAGCGUGGGGCAGCAUGUGGACACUCACCCACCCAUGCGGUUCAGGCUGCUCGUCUGCCCCUGCACCGCCUCUCCUUGAAUUCCCCAGCGAUGACCUUACUGCAGCUAUUUCCAUGCCUGUAAAUCACCUUGCCUGCAUGAGGCGAUGCUGUUAAUUAUGUCACGUGAAGACAAAUUUACAGUGUGGAACAACAGUAAAAAAUAUUCCUACUUGAAGUAAUGUGAGAUCUGCACUCAUUGGGCUGUCCGUAAAUCACAGCCAGCCCCAUGCACCGGGCUGAUGGGCUCUUCCCACCCACCAGCAAAGGUUGUGGUUAUUGGUGCUGAUGGGCCAAAAGUGAGUGCUCAGAGCCUGAAAACUAACUUGCAUCACUCCAAGUGGAUGAAAAAAGCCUGUUUGUAGAUGCUCAAGUGCUGAGUGACCUGAUUUUCUAUGGUGGUGCUGUAGUUUCUGGUGGAAAAAAAAGAUCUUCUACUAGCAUCUGAAAACAUUACUUAUCCAGGAGGGAAUUUUUCCAGGAUGCAUUGCCUGGGGAUGGAGCAUUGACUUAGGUCAGGGGUGUCCAACUCAUGUGACUACUCCUACAUUUAUACAGUCCUAAAAUUACACUCGGCCCUUUGAAGGCAACUGCAAGACUGAUGUCACCCCCGGUGAAAAUGAGUUUGGCACCCCUGACUGAGGUGCAUGGUGGUCUUCAUCUCACUGUCCAUGUUCCUCUGCUCCUCCAGGUUUUCAUCUGUCUUUAGUCAUCUCUUGUCUGGAGAGGAACACGACAAGUGAUGGUGCCACAGCUCGGACACCUGGGGGUCACUCCGUAGCUCGAGGACAGAGCCCUCCCUUUUUGGGGGUGACCUAGAAAGCUCAAAGGGGAAAUGAGAGACAUGUGGUAAUGCUGGGGUUUGCUUAACGGAGUCAGCGGCUGUGAUCAGACCUGUAAUUUUCCGAAGAUCAAAGGCACAGUUGACAGCAGCUGUUUAACACUGAGCUGGAGUAUUUCAGCAUGCGUUUCCCGUACCAGUCUCAUUUCUUUCCAAAGAACAGGUAGACUGACCUGACAUAUCUCCUAGGGCAUCACCAGAGCUGGGCUGGAUUAUCACUGUCCCAAACUGGUGGCUUUUCCCUCCCUGUUCCUACCACUGUUGACCUUUGCAGUUCAGCUAGAAGAAAAACCAAAGCAAAGUUUCCAGGUCGUGGAAUGUCAGCCAAAUGCAGGGACAUCCUUGUGGGGCAUGUCCAAUACCUUUGCCCCAAGGAAGAAGAUCUAAGUUCAGCUGCCCAGUAGCUUUUUGUGUCUAAGAGACACUCGGUGUGGGCUCCCAUGCUGAAAUUUGGGAACAUUGUCAGCCCUUUCAGUAAAAAUCUUUUGCAAUCAGUGCUCUUGGUAAGCAUUAAGUCUGGGUUGAGUGCCAGGGAGAUGCUGUUAGAGUAAAACGAACAGUUCAUGAAUGAUUGGUUUAAACAACAAGUAAGUGAAAUGCCCACAUUGGCAUACAGUCAUUUUUCCAUUUUCUGGCUUUCCAGUCGCAUCCAAGUCUGUUGCUGUGUAAAUCCACUGAGCAAAUGUCUCUGGUGACUGCCCACUUGCUCACUGUGUGGCAUCCCAGAGUCUGGACAUCCAUCCAGAUGCCUCCAUCUCCCUUUCAGGUCCAGCUCUGCUGGCUAAUCCCUCUAUGUGGAUUUACAGUGCAAAGUAAGCAUCCCUCACAAAAACUUAAGGCAAUGCAUCUCUUGGCUGCAUUCAGUGUAGCUCCAUGUUUUUCUUGGAAUGGGAAAGAGCAUCCACAACACCCACAGAGAGCACAACAGCCAGCAAAGUCAUGCCAGAAAGGGCUAAUCCUUUUUCUCUCUUUCUUCAUCUCGCUGAGAAAUGGUGGCAGUGCUUAGUAACAUGGGCUUCCUUCCACCGCCCUCUUAAUAAAAUUAUGGUUUUGACUCUGUUGACUUUCAGCACAAGAGUUUCAUUGCUUUUUCCAGGUGACAAAAGAAAGCUGGUUCUGCUUCAGAGAUGCUAUCUGCCUUACCGUACUGUGCUGCUGGGUGGGCACUCUUUUGGCCAAGUGCUGUGCCCUUGCUGCAGAAUUGGGGAAGGUGUCAGGGCCACGGGGCAGUGGGGACAGGCAGAGCACCACCACUGUAAGGUCAAAGGAGCUCAAAGGACUUGCCUGGAUGCAGCAAUUGAUCCUGGGUCCACUUUGUAGGUGGAAACCUUUGGCUUUGGAGGUCUUACAUGGCUUUCACAAGGUAGGGCAAAUCUAGAAUGUGGUCAUGGUCCUUGCCACCAUGGUAAAACUUGACCUGACAGCCCGAGGGCAGCCAGGCAAAUCCCUGGAGCCAUGCUUGGUGCUUUCAUGGCAGCUGUUGAAUAUUCAGGCUCCAAAAUCCUCUGGGUGCUGUGGGCAUCCCCUCUUUGCCGUGAACACACACGGUGCCCCCAAGCAUGGUCCCGCAAGUGGUGGGAUGACCUGGCAUGUCCUGAGUCCCCAUGCACACCCCAUCUCAUUGCUUUGCCAGGCUGCAGCAUCCCUGAAAUUGGGUGUGCUAGGCAUCAGCGUGGCCACAGUGGGCUCAUGUGGCUGUUUCCCUUCUUGUGCUCAUUCCCAUGGCUGAUGAGACAGCCCCAGUUAAAAUUACCCUGGUAUAAUGCCUCGGGGCUUUUGUUUUUUUGACACUGCAUAUGGAAGGCAGCUGUCAAUUAGCAGCUGAAAAAAUAGCCUGCAGUGCUAAUGAGAGCAAAUCUAAUAGAGACCUCUUCCAAAUUGUUUCCAUCCAUUUUUCAGGGCUUUUAAUUGCUGUCAUAUUAGACUGAUGCCAGAAGGAAAACACGGGGGGAGAAGCCCCAUUUGGAGAUAGAUUCCUCUUUGCCAGGACUGACUCAGAGGCAGCUUUCUUCCCUAAAUUUCGUUUACAGGAGUUUCUAGGUAGUUUCCAAAGUUAUAUUUGGAGCUGGGUCCCUGCCAGCUCCUGCAGCCCCUUUUUCCCCACAGUGAGGAUGGGACUGGGAUGUUAUACCAGCUGCCACAGCCAGAUCGAAGGCUGGGGACAGAUGCUGUCUCCCACCCACUCGCAAUGCUUGAUUUUUUACUUUUUUUUUCUUUUUUUAAGGAAUGUAGUCAGAAAGGGAAUAUUAUGUACUGAAACAGCAAUGGUAAAAUACUUAGCAUUUCUAAAUUCUUUCUGAAGAAAAAGCUUCAAAAUAGUUCUGUUGGUAAAGGCAGCUCUGGAUCCCCAGUGCAGGCAGAAAGUGAGAGGAAAACAAGGCAAUGAAUCAAACACAGAGAGGGCAGCAAGAACAAGAAAACAAAGUGAUUUAUUAAACUAUUAUAUAUAGACAGAGACACUUGCCUUUAAUCCUGGCAUGUAUUUACACGUAUCCAACUAUCCAUUUCUAGCAGUGGAUGUAUUUACCUGAGGGGCUUUUCUGAGGCUUCCUCUUUGAAAUGAGGGUGAAUAGCUGCUGUCGCAUGGCUACAGCUGCUUUUUUUUUUUGCAGUGGGAUUUGUGCUCCUUGCAUGAUAUGGGCAGCCUAAGAUGUAGUAUGUCACUCAGCAUUCAUUUUCUUCCUCUCCAAAGCUUGUGGCUUUGUAAGUAUUGUCAUCUAUCUGCUUGUCUGCUUACAUUGCCAUCUGGGUUCAAAGGUGUCCAUCAUCUGAAGAUCUGCUCCUGCAGUGUCUGACCUUGUGUGGUUCUUUGCUUCUGAAUCUGAGCUGUGGUGGAUGCGCUUUGUACAGCCCAUAGCUAAUAUUCAUGCAAAAGCUGCAGGACUGUGGAGAGCAGGAGAACACAUGCACUUGAAGGUGCUCAAGAAUGAAGGAUUAAAAGCAUGUGCUACAUGGAGAUAAGGGGUUGUACUCACUUCUGGUGUUACCCUGGGGCAGGCUGUUGGAGAUGUUUGAUUUGGUAAAUAGACUGAUUGAAACACAAAUAAUACAGGGGUUGUCAGAGAAGGCAUCUGGCUGGCCUGUUGGGAUGAUAUCUGCUCUUUGUUAUUAAUCUUUUUCAUAGUUAAUAAGGUAGACGAGGGUUUGUACAAGCAUAUUUGAGGAGAGAACCAGAGGUUCCUCUGGAUGAAGGUGGCAUCAGCCAUAUGCGCAGGGUUUAUAAGUACGAGCCACUAUAAAAUUGUGGUUCAAAAAGGUAGAUUUUGCAAAAGUUUGGGCUAAGGGUAAGCCACUCCAGCAUGUCCUAACACAGACAUUAAAAGCACAGAAAAAAUUACCUAGGAGGCUUGUGACAGCAACCACAAGACCAGGGUGCACCAGGGUGGCCCCGGCACUGGGAGCUUCCUGCUGCUGGUGGCGGAUAAGGAAGCCCCAAGCAAAUGAAUGCAUCUCUGUGCCAAUGCCACAAGUGCAAUGCCUCUGCAAGGUCUCAGCCAACCCUGGAAUCCACUACAAGCCCCAGGGAUGCAGCAACCAGUAAAGGGGUUUCCCAGGCUGGAUGGUGUAAAUCACUCUGCAGGAAGGGAGGGGAUUCAGUUUCCCCAUGUGCUGGAGCCUGCUGGGAUCAAGUUACAUUAAUUAAAGUCCAAUGCAUGAUUUUAAUCUGCAGGCCAGUGCACGUUGGUGCCAGGGGCUAGAAUCCCAUGUAGGGGAGGCUGCUUCCAUGAAUUUCCCAGCAUGGCACUUGUGGGGCUGUUUAUUUCCAGGGACAUGGGGCCAAGCCCCUGCAAGUGGCUGCUCAGGGUACUGGAAUUGGUGCCAGUGGCAAGAACAUGAGUGAUGGGUCUAAGAUGGAUCAGCCUUGGAGCAAUGGGGCAGCGCAUCUUUCCAAGGCUUUCUUAGCAAAAAAAAAAAAAAAAAAAAAAAAAAGAAAAGGUAUUUCUUCCCGGCUUUGCCAUGGUUCUUGGCCCAUCUUGUGUUUCACCAGCAUGGCUUAAAUAGGGGCUAAUGCACCAAGUGUGCCUUUAAUAACCUUGGGACAGUAGCAGCUUAGAAAAACAAACAUUCCCCAGCUGCACCGAUCUGGAAACAAGCCUGCACAGCCGCUUCGCAUGCUGGCCCCUCUCCGGACCUGCCUUGUGAAUCUGGGCCACGUUGGGACAAGCCAGGGAUGACCCUGACGCAGGGAACAUGCUGUUCAGGAAACACUGGAUCCUGCCUUGGGGACUGUGGGAGAGCAGAGGGUCAGUGGUUUUGUCUCAGCACACCUGCUCUGGAGCCAGCACAGAGAGCUGCUCAGCACAGCUGAGGGUCAGGCUGGGAAGCCCCGGACACCUGGCCUGAGGAUGGAUCUUUGCCUGGCUGCUGUCAGACAUACUUGCUAUGGGAGAAGAAGCUCAACAGCAAAGGGAGAAUGGAGGAGAAACCCAGAGGAGGUCCCCAUUUGUGUACCUGAUGCUCUCCAGGAUCACCUUAAGUACAUUUACCUCCUCCUCUGCCCUUUCUGGAAACUCUUCUAAUGUUUGGACACUGAUGACUCUCAGUGCAAGUGUGAAACAUCCCAGCUGGAACUCUUGCCUUCACGUAAUAUAAAGCUGCAGCAUGGUGGCUGGUUGCUUCACUUAUAAGUCCUUGAGACAUGAAGCCCUUUUUUCCCCCCAAAUUCAUGGAAUAUCAAAUGCUUGGACACCAUGUACAAGGCAGGGAGGACCUGGAUCAUUUCCCCUAUCCAUCCAUCCAUCCAUCCCUUCAUCCCUCCUGCUUCCCUGGACCGUGUUUACCCAGACCAUCUGUGAGGUCAUGAACCUCCAACACCACUGCAAGCCCACGUGCAGGGACAGAGUGGUCCGAGCACCAAGCCAGCCAUCUGUUUCAUUAAAUGCCACGUGUGCUCUCUGUUUUUAAAAAAAGAACAGGGCAAAACAACCCCCUUGUGAGAUAAUGGCUUGCAAAGUUCUACAGAGUCAGCUUCUUCACUGCAGUGUGUCUGAUGACUGAGCCUG